UGAAAACAGCUGGUGAGCUCAGCUAAGAUUUGACGCAGAUUUUUUUCCCGACAAUCACAGUCUGGGGAGCACCGUGACUGCGUUAUCAGCAUUCGCGAGCUUUCGCUAGAAAUUCUCUAUGUGUGUUCGCACGCGGCGUCGCGACAACCUGAUCACGUACGACUCAAAAGUCCACACAGUUUGGUACUUGUUCACGCGUUGACGACGAUGAUGGGCAUCUUAUUCCGGGCGACGACGACAUUCCAGCUUACAUUUUUCUACGGUUCUCACUGUCUGCGCGCGCGGAAUCCAACAGACGAACGUGUGCGCGCGCGGGAGAAACACCACACAACACACAGCUGAGAAAAUCGAUCAGAAAGCAGAUAGCAUGAAAAUUAAUUUUAUUCAAAACGAAAAAAAAAACGAGCGAAGAAAGAACGGUGAAAAAAUGUACAAUUAAACUACAAGGCAGCGCGCACAGGGAAAAAUUGUGUGCUACGGGUUGCUCACAUAUCGCGACAUGACUAAGCAUUUAAAAAUAGUAAACACGGUGUAACAAAA